ncrna:unclassified sequences Flavobacterium-1 RNA
GUACAACCAGCGUCCACAUCUUGCCUCUGGCAUUUCCCUGUACGUUAGCGAUGAUCCGCAAGGUAGCAAUGGGUGUACCACCAUCCCGCGCCGGGUCCUCUGAUCAAGGGGCGCGGAUGGU